UACGUAGGGGGCAAGCGUUGUCCGGAAUCAUUGGGCGUAAAGCGCGCGUAGGCGGCCCGGUAAGUCCGUUGUGAAAGUCAAAGGCUCAACCUUUGAACGCCGAUGGAUACUGCCGGGCUAGAGUCCGGAAGAGGCGAGUGGAAUUCCUGGUGUAGCGGUGGAAUGCGCAGAUAUCGUAAGGAAGACCAGUGGCGAAGGCGGGUCUCUGGACAGUUCCUGACGCUGAGGCACGAAGGUCAGGGGAGCAAACGGG
rnacentral:rRNA from 1 species